rnacentral:rRNA from 1 species
ACACGGAGGGCGCAAGCGUUGCUCGGAAUCACUGGGCGUAAAGCGGGUGUAGGCGGUCUGGCAAGUCAGAUGUGAAAGCCCACGGCUCAACCGUGGAAGUGCAUCUGAAACUGCUAGACUUGAGUGCCGGAGAGGGAAGUGGAAUUCCUGGUGUAGGGGUGAAAUCCGUAGAUAUCAGGAGGAACACCAGUGGCGAAGGCGACUUCCUGGACGGCCACUGACGCUGAGACCCGAAAGCGUGGGGAGCAAACAGGAUUAGAAACCCUAGUAGUCC